GUGAAGGAUUAGCGGCGAACGGGUGAGGAACACGUGAAGAAUCUGCCUUCAACUCUGGGAUAACUCCGGGAAACCGGGGCUAAUACCGGAUAUGAGCCUUGAUCGCAUGAUCGGGGCUGGAAAGUUUUUCGGUUGAAGAUGACUUCGCGGCCUAUCAGCUUGUUGGUGAGGUAAUGGCUCACCAAGGCGACGACGGGUAGCCGGCCUGAGAGGGCGACCGGCCACACUGGGACUGAGACACGGCCCAGACUCCUACGGGAGGCAGCAGUGGGGAAUAUUGGGCAAUGGACGAAAGUCUGACCCAGCGACGCCGCGUGCGGGAUGAAGGCCUUCGGGUUGUAAACCGCUUUCAGCAGGGAAUAAGCGCAAGUGAAGGUACCUGCAGAAGAAGCACCGGCUAACUAUGUGCCAGCAGCCGCGGUAAUACAUAGGGUGCAAGCGUUGUCCGGAAUUAUUGGGCGUAAAGAGCUCGUAGGUGGUUUGUUACGUCGGUUGUGAAAUUCAGGGGCUCAACCCCUGACUUGCAGCCGAUACGGGCAAGCUAGAGUUUGGUAGGGGAGACUGGAAUUCCUGGUGUAGCGGUGGAAUGCGCAGAUAUCAGGAGGAACACCGAUGGCGAAGGCAGGUCUCUGGGCCAAUACUGACACUGAGGAGCGAAAGCGUGGGGAGCGAACAGGAUUAGAUACCCUGGUAGUCCACGCCGUAAACGGUGGGCGCUAGUUGUGCGAACCUUCCACGGUUUGUGCGACGCAGCUAACGCAUUAAGCGCCCCGCCUGGGGAGUACGAUCGCAAGAUUAAAACUCAAAGGAAUUGACGGGGCCCCGCACAAGCAGCGGAGCAUGCGGCUUAAUUCGACGCAACGCGAAGAAUCUUUACCAGGCUUGACAUAUACAGGAAUAUGGCAGAGAUGUCAUAGCCGCAAGGUCUGCAUACAGGUGGUGCAUGGGUGUCGUCAGCUCGUGUCGUGAGAUGUUGGGGUUAAGUCCCGCAACGAGCG
rnacentral:rRNA from 1 species